AUUGAACGCUGGCGGCAGGCUUAACACAUGCAAGUCGAGCGGGGAAGGGUAGCUUGCUACCUAACCUAGCGGCGGACGGGUGAGUAAUGCUUAGGAAUCUGCCAUUUAGUGGGGGACAACAUUCCGAAAGGAAUGCUAAUACCGCAUACGUCCUACGGGAGAAAGCAGGGGAUCUUCGGACCUUGCGCUAAAUGAUGAGCCUAAGUCGGAUUAGCUAGUUGGUGGGGUAAAGGCCUACCAAGGCGACGAUCUGUAGCGGGUCUGAGAGGAUGACGCGCCACACUGGGACUGAGAAACGGCCCAGACUCCUACGGGGGGCAGCAGUGGGGAAUAUUGGACAAUGGGCGGAAGCCUGAUCCAGCCAUGCCGCGUGUGUGAAGAAGGCCUUAUGGUUGCAAAGCACUUUAAGCGAGGAGGAGGCUACUUAGAUUAAUACUCUAGGAUAGUGGACGUUACUCGCAGAAUAAGCACCGGCUAACUCUGUGCCAGCCGCCGCUGUAA
rnacentral:rRNA from 1 species